GGCCUUUGUGUUGCCUGUUCACCUUUAGUCACUGGUGAAUGUGGUGUCAAAAAAGGCAUAAAUUAAUGCUUUGCAGCCCUUUCUUACUCUGGAGUUUGGUAUAUUGGGUUGUAGGAACUGCAUAAGUCAAAACA